AGGAUCAUUACCGAACCGUCGACACGAGCCGUUGCUGGCCCUCGAAAGGGGACAUGUGCACGCUCUGUCUACACAUCCACUCACACCUGUGCACCCUCUGUAGUUCCAUGGCCUCGGGGACCCCGUCCCCUUGCUGCGGUCCUACGCAUUUACACACACACAUUGACAAAGUCUCAUGGAAUGCAGUCGCGUUUAACGCAAUACAAUACAACUUUCAGCAACGGAUCUCUUGGCUCUCGCAUCGAUGAAGAACGCAGCGAAAUGCGAUAAGUAAUGUGAAUUGCAGAAUUCAGUGAAUCAUCGAAUCUUUGAACGCACCUUGCGCCCUUUGGCUAUUCUGAAGGGCAUGCCUGUUUGAGUAUCAUGAACACCUCAACUCUCGUGGUCCGCCACGAUGAGCUUGGACUUUGGGGGCCUUGCCGGCCUAGCGUCGGCUCCUCUCAAACGGAUCAGCUUGCCAGUGUUUGGUGGCGUCACAGGUGUGAUAACUAUCUACGCUUGUGGUUUUCUGCCAUGUAACCUCCAGUGAUGGAGGUUCGCUGGGGCUCACAGAUGUCUCUCCUUGGGGAGGACAGCUUUUUGAACGUUUGAUCUCAAAUCAGGUAGGACUACCCGCUGAACUUAAGCAUAUCAAUAAGCGGAGGAAAAGAAACUAACAAGGAUUCCCCUAGUAACUGCGAGUGAAGCGGGAAGAGCUCAAAUUUAAAAUCUGGCGCGCCUCUGGCCGUCCGAGUUGUAGUCUGGAGAAG
rnacentral:rRNA from 1 species